CAGCCGCCGCGGUAAUACGGAGGGUGCAAGCGUUAAUCGGAAUUACUGGGCGUAAAGCGUGCGUAGGCGGUUCGUUAAGUCUGAUGUGAAAGCCCCCGGCUCAACCGGGGAGGAUCAUUGGAAACUGGGAAACUUGAGUGCAGAAGAGGAGAGUGGAAUUCCACGUGUAGCGGUGAAAUGCGUAGAGAUGUGGAGGAACACCAGUGGCAAAGGCGACUCUCUGGUCUGUAACUGACGCUGAGGAGCGAAAGCGUGGGGAGCGAACAGGAUUAGAUACCCCAGUAGCCUGUCUCUUAUACAC
rnacentral:rRNA from 1 species